UGUUCCCAUUCCGAACACAGAAGUUAAGCUCUCUAGCGCUGAUGGUACUUGGUGGGAAACUGCCUGGGAGAGUAGGACGUAGCCACGUA
rnacentral:rRNA from 1 species